AAUGGGCGAAAGCCUGACCCAGCCAUGCCGCGUGCAGGAUGACGCCCUAUGGGUUGUAAACUGCUUUUAUAUAGGAAGAAAAUACUCUUGCGAGAGAAACUGACGGUACUAUAUGAAUAAGGACCGGCUAACUCCGUGCCAGCAGCCGCGGUAAUACGGAGGGUUCAAGCGUUUUCCGGAUUUAUUGGGUUUAAAGAGUGCGUAGGUGGUUUAUUAAGUCAGUGGUGAAAUCCUGCAGCUCAACUGUAGAACUGCCAUUGAUACUGGUAAACUUGAGUUUGGUUUAGGUAAGCGGAAUUUAUGAUGUAGCGGUGAAAUGCAUAGAUAUCAUAAGGAACACCAAUAGCGAAGGCAGCUUACUGGACCAUAACUGACACUGAGGCACGAAAGCGUGGGUAGCGAACAGGAUU
rnacentral:rRNA from 1 species